rnacentral:rRNA from 1 species
UACGUAGGGUGCGAGCGUUGUCCGGAAUUAUUGGGCGUAAAGAGCUCGUAGGCGGUUUGUCGCGUCGGCCGUGAAAACUUGGGGCUUAACUCCAAGCUUGCGGUCGAUACGGGCAGACUUGAGUUCGGCAGGGGAGACUGGAAUUCCUGGUGUAGCGGUGAAAUGCGUAGAUAUCUGGAGGAACACCGGUGGCGAAGGCGGCAUCCUGGACCAAUAUUGACGCUGAGGAGCGAAAGCCAGGGGAGCAAACGGG